AAAAUUGUAAAAAAAUAUUUUAAAUUAUUAAUAGUUAUGAUCUUUAAAAUUAAAAAAUUUGGCGGUAUUUUAGUCUAUUCAGAGGAAUCUGUUCUAUAAGUGAUAUCCCACGUUUAAUUAGGCUUAAUUUAGAAAUUUAUAUAUCGUUGUAGAUUAAAUAUUUUAAAAGAAUUAAAUAUUUAAAAUUUAUUAAAUAAUAAAAUAAAUCAAAUCAAGGUGUAGUUUAUAAUUAAGAAGAAAUGGAUUACAAUUAAUUUAUUAUUGGUAAUAAAAUUGAAAAUUUUAUUUAAAUUGGAUUUGAAAGUAAUUAAUUUAAUUUUUUUUUAAUGAGUUAGUUCUAAAAUAUGU
rnacentral:rRNA from 1 species